GCAACUCUCAGGUGGGCACCAUUGCCAUUCUGAGAGAACGAGGGAAGUGUUCAUGAACAAUACUGCAUCCUGGCUUCUCCUAAAAUGAUAUCAGCACAGACCAAACAGAAGCAUUACAUCAUCAGAACGAUCUCUCAUUGGAUGGUCAAUGAUGCAGCAACUUCUGUUCCCUAGCAACUUCCCAGGGUGUUUUAACUCCUUUUGCAGGCAUUGGGACAAGACAAUAUUCACUGGUAACGCAGCAUCUGAGAAGGUAGGCUUAACCUUCUCCAUCGUCACCAUGAUCACAAUGAA